AUCUUGGGACUGCCGCCACACCCGCUCCCCACAGGUCCGUGGACUGGGAUCCAAAGGACAAUUCAGAGCUUCAUGGAUGAUGAAGUGUUUGUUAACUGCCAAAAUUAUGAAGUCCAGAAACUUUGGGAAGCUUUUCUGGACUGAGAAUGUAUGUGAUAUUACUUCUCCUUAAUUUUAAUAUUGAUUGGAAAAAUAAGAACAGCACAUCAACAAGAGCUUCUAUUUCUGCACACUGAUUUCCAUUGGCAAAGAAAUUAAUGUUUUUUCUUCAUCUUCAUACAAUAACUCUGGGAAGUUAGUUUAUUCCUUCAUUUACCAUCUGUCUCCAGCGGCCUUGUCUGAGCCUGACCACGAGUAAGCAUGCCAGAGAAGUUGACUGAAUGCAUUCUGAAUUGGAGUUCUGUUAGAAAGGUUCCUGAGGCUCUAUGAAGACCCUGUGGGGGAAGAGUGCAGAAGCCACCGUCCCAUACCUGCCAUCUAAUGUGAUGCUGUUAAUGAAGAGGAAUAGACAGAGGAGGAGAAACAUCUAUGCUCACGUUUAUAUUGAACAUAAGAAUCUCAGAAUCUCUGCACUAGAUUUGAAUAGCUCAUCUGACCCACCAAGUUGUCAUAAGUUUGCUCCUGACAGUGACUAAAGUCAUUCUGCUUUGUAAUACUCUAGAGCUGUUAAUGACCCAAAGUCAUUGUUUUGGACUAUGUAUUCCUACCCUUUAAUGGUUUUGUUUAUUCUUGUUGGUUUUAAUUAAAUAAAGAAAA
rnacentral:sRNA from 1 species